AGUCAAUAGAUACCCUGGUAGUCCACGCUGUAAACGAUGCGCACUAGGUGUCGGGGGUAUCGACCCCUCGGUGCCGCAGCUAACGCGAUAAGUGCGCCGCCUGGGGACGUACGGCCGCAAGGCUAAAACUACAAAGGAAUUGACGGGGGCCCGGCACAAGCAGCGGAGCGUGUGGUUUAAUUCGACGCAGCGCGAAGAACCUUACCUGGGCUUGACAUGCGUGUGGUACGGAGCCGAAAGGCCGAGGACCCGCAAGGGAGCACGCACAGAUGCUGCAUGGCUGUCGUCAGCUCGUGCCGUGAGGUGUUGGGUUAAGUCCCGCAACGAGCGCAACCCUCGCUGCCAGUUACCAUGUCUGGCGGGACCGCCGGGUCCAACCCGGAGGAAGGUGGGGAUGACGUCAAGUCAGCACGGCUCUUACGUCCAGGGGCUACACACACGCUACAAUGGCCGGUACAACGCGCAGCGAUGGGGGCGACCCGGAGCGAAUCGCAGCAAAGCCGGUCUCAGUUGGGAUUGCAGGCUGCAAC
rnacentral:rRNA from 1 species